UGGCCCUGAGCCUGAAUGCUGGAAGGCCAAUGGCUGAGGAAAUUCCUGGAGGGACUUCAUCAGAGUCAGUCACUCCUGAAGAUUUAAGUGCCUUCAUAAAAUAUUCUUAUGGUAAUAUAUGUCUUUUGGAGCCUCCUGUCCCAACAGAACCCCAGGCAGUUGAUGAUGGGGAUGAAGAAACAGUUUCUGCUGCCACAGA